rnacentral:rRNA from 1 species
AGAGUUUGAUCCUGGCUCAGGAUGAACGCUAGCGGCAGGCUUAACACAUGCAAGUCGAGGGGUAACGGGGAAGCUUGCUUCCGCCGACGACCGGCGCACGGGUGCGUAACGCGUAUACAAUCUACCUUAUACUGGGGUAUAGCCUUUAGAAAUGAAGAUUAACCCCCCAUAGUCUCUUAGAGUGGCAUCACUUCUAGAGUAAAGGUUACGGUAUAAGAUGAGUAUGCGUUCUAUUAGUUUGUUGGUGUGGUAACGGCACACCAAGACUACGAUAGAUAGGGGCCCUGAGAGGGGGAUCCCCCACACUGGUACUGAGACACGGACCAUACUCCUACGGGAGGCAGCAGUGAGGAAUAUUGGACAAUGGAGGCAACUCUGAUCCAGCCAUGCCGCGUGCAGGAAGACUGCCCUAUGGGUUGUAAACUGCUUUUAUACAGGAAGAAACACCUCUACGUGUAGAGGCUUGACGGUACUGUAAGAAUAAGGAUCGGCUAACUCCGUGCCAGCAGCCGCGGUAAUACGGAGGAUCCAAGCGUUAUCCGGAAUCAUUGGGUUUAAAGGGUCCGUAGGUGGAUAAUUAAGUCAGAGGUGAAAUCUUGCAGCUCAACUGUAAAAUUGCCUUUGAAACUGGUUAUCUUGAGUUAUUAUGAAGUAGUUAGAAUAUGUAGUGUAGCGGUGAAAUGCAUAGAUAUUACAUAGAAUACCAAUUGCGAAGGCAGAUUACUAAUAAUCAACUGACACUGAUGGACGAAAGCGUGGGUAGCGAACAGGAUUAGAUACCCUGGUAGUCCACGCCGUAAACGAUGGUUACUAGCUGUUUGGACUUCGGUCUGAGUGGUUAAGCGAAAGUGAUAAGUAACCCACCUGGGGAGUACGUUCGCAAGAAUGAAACUCAAAGGAAUUGACGGGGGCCCGCACAAGCGGUGGAGCAUGUGGUUUAAUUCGAUGAUACGCGAGGAACCUUACCAGGGCUUAAAUGUAAGUUGCAUUAGUUAGAGAUAGCUAUUUCUUCGGACCACUUACAAGGUGCUGCAUGGUUGUCGUCAGCUCGUGCCGUGAGGUGUCAGGUUAAGUCCUAUAACGAGCGCAACCCCUGUUGUUAGUUGCCAGCGAGUCAUGUCGGGAACUCUAGCAAGACUGCCAGUGCAAACUGUGAGGAAGGUGGGGAUGACGUCAAAUCAUCACGGCCCUUACGUCCUGGGCUACACACGUGCUACAAUGGUAGGUACAGAGAGCAGCCACUGCGCGAGCAGGAGCGAAUCUAUAAAACCUAUCACAGUUCGGAUCGGAGUCUGCAACUCGACUCCGUGAAGCUGGAAUCGCUAGUAAUCGGAUAUCAGCCAUGAUCCGGUGAAUACGUUCCCGGGCCUUGUACACACCGCCCGUCAAGCCAUGGAAGUUGGAAGUGCCUGAAGUCCGUCACCGUAAGGAGCGGCCUAGGGUAAAGUCGAUAACUAGGGCUAAGUCGUAACAAGGUAAAUCACUAGU